GAUGAACGCUGGCGGCGUGCCUAAUACAUGCAAGUCGAGCGAACGGACGAGAAGCUCGCUUCUCUGAUGUUAGCGGCGGACGGGUGAGUAACACGUGGAUAACCUACCUAUAAGACUGGGAUAACUUCGGGAAACCGGAGCUAAUACCGGAUGAUAUUUUGAACCGCAUGGUUCAAAAGUGAAAGACGGUCUUGCUGUCACUUAUAGAUGGAUCCGCGCUGCAUUAGCUAGUUGGUAAGGUAACGGCUUACCAAGGCAACGAUGCAUAGCCGACCUGAGAGGGUGAUCGGCCACACUGGAACUGAGACACGGUACAGACUCCUACGGGAGGCAGCAGUAGGGAAUCUUCCGCAAUGGGCGAAAGCCUGACGGAGCAACGCCGCGUGAGUGAUGAAGGUCUUCGGAUCGUAAAACUCUGUUAUUAGGGAAGAACAUAUGUGUAAGUAACUGUGCACAUCUUGACGGUACCUAAUCAGAAAGCCACGGCUAACUACGUG
rnacentral:rRNA from 1 species